rnacentral:lncRNA from 1 species
AUGUUCUUACUCCCUGGAGAUGGAGACUUCAAGCUGUCCUGGUGUAUGUGCAAUGAAUUGGACACACCCAGUAUAGGAAAAGGCAAGUGAACUUUGGAAUAAAACCCAGGCUGAUUUCCUUGUUUGUGACUUAUCUGGUACCUCUCAUUUUGAGCUCCAGCUUCCUCAUCUGUAAAACGAGAAUCAGGAUGCCUCUUCUGAGAGCUGCUGUGUGAGACACAUGGAAUCAGGCAGACCACUUCCCUCUUCACAGCCAAGAACCUUGACCAAGUUGUCUCCAUCCUCCAGUGGCCUCUUCUUUCCACCCACCUGUGAGGAGCUGUGAACUCCCGCUGUGCCCAGUCUCAGACCACAACCACUCCCACCACAGUCACAGGCAAGCCCAGUGAGCAAUGUUAGCUCAUGCUGUAACACAGCGAAGGUCAGCGCACAAGUCUACAUACACACAUGUCAUCCCUGUGUCUCUGUGGACCCCGCCUCAGAGGGAGUAUGGGCAAACAUUUGUCUUUAAACUCUUUCAGUUUUUCCUCUAAACUUGGGGUGGUGUCCUCCCUUCUGAGUCAACCGCAGAUGGCUGAGUCGUCUGAUUUGCAUCAUAUCAGAUGCAAACUCUGCUCCUCCAUUUUGUACUCAGGAGACCCGGGUAGGGGAGCCUCCCUGGACACACCCUACUGGCAUGACACACCUGCACAGCAGCUCACAUCUGAAGCCAACUCUUCUGGGGUCCUGGUGGUUCCAAAGACUCUUCUAGUCCUCUCCCUCAGAAGCACGUGUGAAGGGACAGCAAGGAUGCUCUCUAGGGUUGCUCACACCCACUAUGGUCCCUAUGUCUUCUUGCACCUGUGUGAUUUCUCUGCAGGGGUGACAGGUUGGAGACUGAUUUCUUCGGUGCAGUGGCCCUCAGGGAUAGCCUGACCCCUUAGUCAUCCCUAUGCCCUGACUCCAUCUCCCCUCCUGCCUGUGGCCUCAUAGGUUACCUCUUACUUUUUAACCUAAAAACAGAAAAGAUUUAUUUAAUGCACACGUGUGCUUUACCUGUGUGUUUGUCAUACAUUACAUAAAAAAGUUGAAACAAAAUUAAAAGAGGAAAUGAAACGCUUGAAGUCACAAUGGUGACCCAAGACAAGCACAGGGGUGGGCACUGAAAUUCUUAAAGUAACAGCUAGCAAGCUGUCUUCCAAUCCAUUUAGUAAAUAUCUAGGAUAUAAUACACACCUCAGAAGUGAUUAUAGACAUAUAGAAAGCUGGAAAAGGAUGCUAGAAGAAUCCCAGUCUUUCUGUCCUCAGAUUCUGCAAAUGUUAACGUUCGCUAUGUCUGCUUUGUUAUCACUCUUCUAUCACACAUGAGCUUCACGGGCUGUAGGCAAUAAAGUAUAGGUAUCAUGCCGGGCGUGGUGGCGCACGUCUUUAAUCCCAGCACUCGGGAGGCAGAGGCAGGCGGAUUUCUGAGUUCGAGGCCAGCCUGGUCUACAAAGUGAGCUCCAGGACAGCCAGGGCUAUAUAGAGAAACCCUGUCUCGAAAAACCAAAAAAAAAAAAAAAAAGUAUAGGUAUCAUAACAGAUUAUGUGUAUAUGUAUGUGUAGUAUAUGUGUAUGUAUUGGUAUAUGUAAAGUGUGCAUAUAUAUGUAUACGUUGUGUGUGGAGGGACACAUAUGCACUAUGGAACAUGUGUGGAAGGCAGAGAGCAACUUUCAGGAGUAAGUCCCCUCCUGCCACCAGGCAGGUUCCAGAGCUGAGGCCAGGUUGUGAUCCUUGCUGGCAGGCGCCUCUUCUCACUGAGCUAGCUCACUGGCUCCAGACAAAAUUUUCUUAGACACCUGAAUCCUUUCAUUUGUACUUCCUCAAAAGCACAUUGUUUGUUUGUUUUUAAAUUAGUACAAUGACAAAUUGAGAAAAACAUCACAAUUGUUUAAGGCAUAAACUUUAUUUCAGUUUUUACUAAUAGGCAUGACACCAUGCUAGCAAGAAGAGAAGAAGGUUUUGUUGUUGCUGUUUGGUUUCAUUGUUGCUCCAGUUUUGGCUCCGAAUCUUAUCUAGGACCAUAGGCUGAAAUACACUGUUACAUUUGUUCUUUAGUCUCCGUCCUUCCUGGCCUUGGUGUUUUGAAGAGCACAGGGCAGUAAAUUAAGGGAUUGUCCUUCCCUGUGGGUUUGUCUGUGGCUGCCCAGGAUUAGAUAC